rnacentral:rRNA from 1 species
CACGUAGGGCGCAAGCGUUGUCCGGAAUUAUUGGGCGUAAAGAGCUCGUAGGCGGUCUGUUACGUCCGCUGUGAAAACUCGGGGCUUAACCCCGAGCCUGCAGUGGAUACGGGCAGACUAGAGGUAGGUAGGGGAGAAUGGAAUUCCCGGUGUAGCGGUGAAAUGCGCAGAUAUCGGGAGGAACACCGGUGGCGAAGGCGGUGUGCUGGGUUGCAACUGACGCUGAGAUGCGAAAGUGUGGGGAGCAAACGGG